rnacentral:rRNA from 1 species
AGAGAGAGACAUGCGCGCAUAUCAAUAAGCGGAGGAAAAGAAACUAACUAAGGAUUCCCCUCAGUAACGGCGAGUGAAGCGGGAAGAGCUCAAAUUUGAAAUCUUCAAGGGUUCUACCUUUACGAAUUGUAGUUUAAAGAAGUGUUUUCUGUUGAGGUUUUGGUAAAAGUUCUUUGGAAUAGGACAUCAUAGAGGGUGAGAAUCCCGUAUUUGACCAUUAUUUUCCAGCUGUGUGAUACACUUUCAAAGAGUCGGAUUGUUUGGGAAUGCAGUCCAAAAUGGGUGGUAAAUUUCAUCUAAAGCUAAAUAUUGGCGAGAGACCGAUAGCGAACAAGUACCGUGAGGGAAAGAUGAAAAGAACUUUGAAAAGAGAGUUAAACAGUACGUGAAAUUGUCAAAAGGGAAGCGUUUGACACCAGUGUUGUUUUCUCGAAAAUCAAUUAAAAAAGGCAGGAUUUUGUGUUGUAUUGACUUUAUCAGCUUUCUGCACUCUUUUCUUGUCUUUUUUAAUGCACUUUUCGUUUAACAAGUCAACAUCAAUUUCUUUUGUUGUAAAAGGGUCAUUGGAAGGUGGCUUUCUUUUCGGAGAAAGUGUUUAUAGCCUUUGGCCUCUGCAAUCGGAGAGAUUGAGGUCUGCAGCGUAGAUCCUUCGGGGUUAGAUACAUUUGUGCUAAGUUAUAGCCUUUCAUAGACAACUUGUUGACUAUGAUCAGUCAUGUAGCUUACUCGCUUAUGCUAUUUUACCUACGCUUAGGAUGUUGAUGUGAUACUGCGAGCA